ACCGAGCUCGGUUGCGUGGGCUUGUAACUCAAGUGAGGGUAAGCAAGGUGGUUGAACUGUGACGUGGCUCUCUUGGGUGGGCGGUUUGCAUUUGGGUUAAUGUGCCCUCUCCAAGCCCGGAGUUGGCCUUGGCUCUUCUUGGCCGAAAGGUUGGGUGGGCCUGGAUUUAGAGUGGAGGAGAAUGCGUGAGGCUGGUCUCACAGAGCAGCGAUUACCUCCCGCUCUUGGCAGUGGAAGGAUAACAUGUUGGUGUGUGGGCUGCCCAAUUGAACCUUAGAGCUCCAUGCUCGCAUGGACAACCACUUUU
rnacentral:SRP_RNA from 1 species